AUGCAGCAACUGGAAGCAGCAAUGAUGGACCCACCUUCAGAAAAUGCCAUGCCCAUUGUGAUGGUUGACAGUGAGGCACAACCUUCUGAGACUGUGUUAGCCGUUGAGCAAACAGGGGAAGUGAUCCCCAUGAUCAUGGACCCACCUGCUCGCACAGCUGGGCCGCCACAUCCGGCAUCUACAGGAACUGGUCGCACAAGGCGUCCCUGCUAUGGAUGGAUCUCUGAGUCUGAGAGUGACUCGGACUACGAAGAAUAUGUUGCACGUCGACAGAAGCAGGUGCAUGUCCCGGCCAAGUAG
rnacentral:rRNA from 1 species